UUCUCGAAUUUAGAAGAGCUAUUUUUUUUAUUGUAAUAAAUAUUUUUAAUAUGUAAUGAGAUGUUAAUAUAUCUAGUUAUUAAAGAAAAUUUAAUUUUUUUAUGUUUUAGGGGAUGAGCUUUAAGUAGGAUUAGAAGUUUUGUUAUAAUUUAUCUAUUUAAUAGAAAGUUUAAAUUAAUUUUUUUAUUAUGAUUGAAUUAGUAUAAGUUUGAGAAAAGGAACUCGGCAAUUGUCUUUCACCUGUUUAUUAAAAACAUGUCCUUUUGUGAAAAAUUUAAGGUCUGACCUGCCCACUGAGGCCGCGGUAUUUUGACCGUGCAAAGGUAGCAUAAUCAUUAGUUUUUUAAUUGAAAGCUGGUAUGAAGGGUUGGAUGAGAAGACAGCUGUCUCUUUUUAAUAGAAUUUUAUUAUUAAGUUAGAAUGCUUAAAUAUUAUUUAAAGACGAGAAGACCCUAUAGAGUUUAAUUUUGGUUGGGGUGACUGAAAAAUUUAGUAAACUUUUGAUUAUAAGAUAAAAUUACCUUAGGGAUAACAGCGUUAUUUUUCUUAGAGUUCUAAUCGAAAGAAGAGUUUGCGACCUCGAUGUUGGAUUAAAAUAAAUUUUGGUGUAGAAGCU
rnacentral:rRNA from 1 species